CGUCAUGCCAGUUCGGGCGCGCCUGCCCUCUUCAUUGAUGGCAGCUGGGCUUCACUCCAGGCUGCAAAUCUCGCCCUGCGGCCCGUUGUUUGGUGAUGUCUUCAGUUCAUCUCAACCGCUUUCAAGUCAUAGUCUGGUCAAAUAUUGAAGAAUGUAUAUCUCCCAUAAAGAAAUAGUUGUCUGGAAAUAACAGCAAAAGUUGGUUAUCGGAAGAAAAGACCUCUACCAGGGGAAAAGGGGGGGGGAAUGAUAUUACAAAAUCCA